AUAUUUAUUUUGAGGUAGAAUGGGAAUAAUGAAAAGCAAUGUGUGCAUGUACCGAAAUACAUAUGCAUCGAUAGCAGCGGAGUUUCAAAUGAAUGAUCUUAAGGAAAGCAUGUGUGGUAUCUUUAGAUAUUGGAAAAAGCUUAUUGAAGCCCCUUCAUACAGAUGAAAAAGAAAAUUUGUACAUGCUAAAAAAGCUAACAUUGCAAUUCCCCUCUUCUAUUUGGUAUUCAGCUAAGCCAUAAGUGCUCAAUCUGCCAGUCAAAUGUUCUGAGGUAAAUAAACCUAUCAGGAAAACAAAGGAUAAAAGCAAGAGUGCCAUGAAAACCUUACCUUUCUAAUAAUGAUCCAUGAUCAAUUGUCGCAUUAUUAAAAUCUAGAAUUUUUCCAUUAACACACGGCGUGUGCUACCAUGAAAAACAUCACAUGGGCCUCUUCAUUGCUAGUUGAUAGAGUUGUCAGCCACCUUUAUAUGUUUGGAAUAUCACUGAUGGUGAGGUCCCUUAAUUUUAGAAAUGCUGCUAGCAGCAAGAACUUCUCCAACAGCCUUGGCGUUUUUUGUGUACAUGUUUAUGCAGGUGGGUGGGUUAAGGGGCUGAGAAGCUUGUGCAAUUUGGAGAGUGUAAAGUCCAGUUUCAUCUAUAUUAAAAUGGUUUAUAGUGCACUAUGUGUUCUUUGAUUCUGACAAUGUGAAGUCAUUGGAGGCUUGGAUCAUCAUAUUGCUACUAUAAAAAUGAUGGUUGAAAAGUAAGUGUAUUGACUACCUUUUUCUCUUUUUACAGAGACACAUCUGUUGGGACUAUGCUUUGUCGCCGAAGGUCUUGUAGGGAGAAACAGUUUCGGCUGAAGCUGACCGCAUGUGAUGACCGAAGGUUCCUCAGUAUGAAGCUUCGGAAUUACAAACCGACUUAAGAGUAGAAUGACCUUGUAGUCCAUAAAUGUUUGAGUCGCUGUUGUAAUUCCUUAUAAGGGACAUAAUUGUAAUUCCUCACAGGCUGUGUCCCGUGCCUAUAAAUAGUGAACAGUAUUCCUUUACUGUUCACGCAUUCCGAUGAUAGUGAUCACACCAUUCGGGAAUCAAUCUUUUGCCAAGGUAUAAUUGUAUCCAGUGCUUAAAUGUGUUAAAUCGAUAUAAUAUGAAAGUAAUGUUGUUCGUUUAUAAUUUAUUCACCUUUGACGCUUCGUAUUUUAUAUUACUUUAUUCAAUCUAUUAGGAUUCAAUUACGAAGAUUAACCUUCGUAGUCAUAUUGUCUUUAACCUUCGUCCAAGGCUCAUUAAUCCUUAAGGGAAUAAUGCUUCGUUGGACGAAGGGCAUUAACAUUUAACAUUUUAUGUUGCCUUGUUCUUAAUUCAUAGCAUUUGAGAACAAGUCCCCAACAUUGGCGCCCACCUCCGGUGAACUCAUUUCCACUUUCCUGAGACAAUGGCUUCGUUCAAGAACCAAGCUGGAGCUGCUUCGGCUCUGAACCUGAUUCUCCCGAUAACAGGCGGUUCAUGCUCAGAGCCGGCUAACAAGAAACAGAAGGAGGCACAGAGAAGAGUACAACAUGUUGGAGUGCAGGGACCCUUCAUCAAGUCAAGAUGGUCCCACAUUCCAAUCACCUUCUCCCAAGAGGAUCUUCAGCUCAAGGAUUUUCCUCAUAACGAUGCUAUGGUUAUUUCUUGCGUUAUCAAAGGGUUUCUGGUCCACAAUGUCUUGGUUGAUACAGGCAGUGCAGCUGAUAUUAUAUUUGCUAAGGCCUUCAGACAAAUGCAAGAGCCAGAAGAUAAGAUUCAUGAUGCUACACACCCUCUCUGUGGCUUCGGAGGAAGACAGAUUGUAGCACUGGGCAAGAUCACCAUGCGAGUGACCUUCGGAUUCAUCAACAACACCAGAACUGAGCAAGUUGUGUUUGACAUUGUUGACAUGGAAUACCCUUACAAUGCAAUUAUUGGUCGUGGCACCCUCAAUGCUUUCGAAGCAAUUCUUCAUCCUGCUUACCUUUGCAUGAAGAUACCUUCGGAUCAAGGACCCAUUGCUAUUCAUGGAAGUCAGGAAGCUGCCAGAAGGGCCGAGGGAAACUGGACUGACUCAAAAGCAAUCCAUAAUAUAGAUGGAGCUGAAGCUUGUGAACAGUACAAAUUCAGAAGGGAGAAAGCAGCUUCAGCAGAUCAGCCGAAGCCCAUGCUCUUAUGCGAGGACGUAGCGGAGCAGAAGGUGCUGUUGGGCUCCCAAUUAUCCGAAGAACAGGAGAAAACCUUGAUAAGGUUUUUGUUCAACAACAAAGAUGUUUUUGCAUGGUCAGCCAAUGAUCUUUGCGGAGUUAACAGGGAUGUUAUUGAACACUCGCUCAAUGUUGACCCAUCCUUCAGACCUAGAAAGCAGAGGCUUCGGAAAAUGUCUGAAGACAAGGCCAAAGGAGCUCGGAAUGAAGUCAAAAGACUCCUCAGUGCAGGAGUUAUCAGAGAAGUAAAGUACCCAGAAUGGCUAGCUAACACUGUUAUGGUAAAAAAGGCCAAUGGCAAAUGGCGAAUGUGUAUCGAUUUUACGGAUCUCAACAAGGCCUGUCCGAAGGACGAAUUCCCAUUGCCAAGGAUAGACUCCUUAGUUGAUGCAGCAGCUUCGUCAGAGCUUAUGAGUCUUCUAGAUUGUUAUUCAGGCUGUCAUCAAAUUUGGAUGAAGAAGGAGGAUGAGCCGAAGACCAGUUUCAUAACCCCUAGUGGAACAUAUUGUUACCUUCGGAUGCCUGAGGGGCUCAAGAACGCUGGAGGAAGUUUCAGCAGAAUGACUGCGAAGGUUCUUCAGUCUCAGAUAGGUAGAAAUGUGCUAACUUAUGUUGAUGAUAUCAUUGUAAAAAGCACGAAACAAGAAAAUCACAUUGCUGAUUUGCAGGAGACCUUCGCCAGUUUUGGAAAAGCUGGUCUAAAGCUGAAUCCAGAAAAAUGUGUCUUCGGAGUAAAGAAGGGGAAAUUUCUUGGAUGCUUGGUUUCAACAAAGGGAAUUGAAGCUAAUCCAAGUAAAAUCGAAGCUAUACUUCGAAUGGAGCCACCAAAUACAAAAAAGGGGGCCCAAAGACUGACAGGGAGGCUGGCAUCUCUCAAUAGAUUCAUAUCCAGAUCAGCAGAGAGAAAUUUACCAUUCUUCGAAGUGCUGAAAUCAGCCGAAGUCUUUUCAUGGGGACCAAGCCAACAAAAAGCCUUCGACGAACUAAAGCAAUAUUUGAUAGAUUUAACAACAUUAACUCCACCAACACCAGGGGCUCCUUUGUUAUUAUAUGUGGCAGCUUCGCACUCAGCGGUAAGUGCAGCACUUGUUCAGGAGAAGCUUGAUGGCCAAGUCAAGAAGCAGGUCCCAGUAUAUUUUGUAUCUGAGGUUCUUAGUUUAUCGAAGAAAAACUAUACAGAAUUGGAGAAGGUGUUAUAUGCUGUUUUGAUGGCAUCCAGGAAGCUUCGGCAUUACUUUCAAGCAUACAAUAUUGUUAUUCCUUCUUCGCAACCGUUGAAGGAUAUUAUGAGAAAUAGAGAAGCUACUGGACGGAUUGGAAAAUGGGCUGCAGAGCUCAAUGAAUUUUGCAUUGAUUAUGUGCAUAGAUCUUCGAUCCAGUCUCAAGCGUUGGCAGAUUUCAUUGCUGACUGGACGCCAGGGGCUCAGGAUGAAGAAACGAAUAAAGAUGCCGAAGUAUGGACAGUGUUUUGCGAUGGGUCUUGGGGAACCUUCGGAGCAGGAGCAGCCGCUGUGUUGGUCUCACCAUCCAAAGUUAAAACUUGUUAUGCGGCAAGACUCGAUUUUAGUUGUACAAACAAUAUUACUGAGUACGAAGCCCUGCUUUUGGGCCUUCGGAAGUUAAAAGCAAUGGGAAUCAGAAGGGCCAUUCUUAAAACUGAUUCCCAGGUUGUUUCGGGUCAUAUCGACAAGAGUUGUAAGGCUAAAGAUCCGAAGCUUGAAAAAUAUCUAGACACGGUCCGAAGGAUUGAAGCUUCCUUCGAAGGAUUUUCUGUCAAAAAUAUCCCUCGAGGACAAAAUGAGCAUGCUGAUUUGCUAGCUAAGUCAGCAGCACAGGGGCUGCCCUUACCUUCGGAUGUGUUCUUCGAAACAAUAAAAGCACCUUCAGUGGAACUUCUUGAAAGAGCAGUCCUCAAUAUAUCUCCUGUUUAUAGUGAAGACUGGAGAACUGAGAUCAUCUCUUACCUUCAGGGUAACUUCCUUUCAGAUGACGAAACUUAUAACAGGAGGAUAGAGGCAAGAGCUCAUCCAUAUGUCAUGAUAGAAGGGGAGUUGUACAAGCAUGGAGUUUGUGCUCCAUUACUCAAGUGUUUAUCUAGAGCCGAAGGCAUAGAAUUAAUGAAAGAAAUACAUGCAGGCCUGUGUGGAUCUCACAUUGGAUCUAGGCCGUUACUUGGAAAAGUUUUCCGUCAAGGGUUUUAUUGGCCGAAGGCAGCUUCGGAUGCAGCGGAAUUAGUUCAAAAGUGCGAAGGUUGUCAGAAAUGUGCAAGAGAUAAAAAACAACCUUCGUCUCUAACUCAGCUGAUACAACCCAUCUGGCCAUUGCAAAGGUGGGGCCUUGACUUGUUAGGUCCGUUACCACCGGCCCAAGGAAACUUAAGAUAUGUUGUAGUGGCUGUGGAAUAUUUUUCUAAAUGGAUUGAGGCAAAGCCUUUAGCCACAAUAACUUCGGCCACCAUUCAAAAGUUUUUCUGGCAGAAUAUUGUUUGUCGUUUCGGAGUACCAAAGACCAUCACUGUAGAUAAUGGAACACAGUUCGACUCCGAAGCUUUCAGAGAAUUCUGUGAUCAAAUUGGCACGAAGAUCCAUUUUGCAUCAGUCAAGCAUCCGGAGUCAAAUGGACUUGUUGAAAGAGCCAAUGGCAUCAUAAUGACAGGAAUAAUGAAGUUAAUCUUCAAUCAACCCAGGGGAAAGUGGCCAGAUCAAUUAAUCAAAGUGGUAUGGAGCCACAACACAACAACAUCAAGGUCAACAGGCUUUACUCCAUUCAAAUUAUUGUUUGGUGACGAAGCAAUAACUCCGGAGGAAGCUAAAACUGGAUCAAUAAGAGUAGUAGCUUCGGCAAAAUCAGAUUCUGAAGCUGAUCAUUCUGUGGAAAAAGAUGCUAUAGAAGGGAUCAAGCUUCAAGCUGUGGAGAACAUCAAUAAAUAUCAAGCCGAAACAAUCAAAUGGCGUGAUAGAAAGGUUCGGCUAAAGAAUAUUGAGCCAGGACAUUUGGUGCUUCAGAGAGUGGCUAACCCAGAUACAGUGGGCAAGUUGCAGUUGAAAUGGGAGGGACCUUUUUUGGUAGUAUCUUCGGCAAGACCCGGUUCAUACAGAUUGAAGGAUAUGGACGGCAACGACAUUCCUAGAUCUUGGAAUGCGGAUGAGCUUCAGCGAUAUUAUGUAUAACUUGAUGUAACUUUUUAUAUUUUUUAUUUUUUCUUUCAUGGCACCCUUUUCCUUUCUGAAGGGGGAGAAAGGUUUUUAAUGGGGCCAUCACAUGUAAUUUCCUUUUUUAGUUCUAUAAGAGCAAAAUCCCCCAAAGAUGUAAAUGUAAAAACUGAGAACGCACCAUCGAGUGCCGAAAAGAAACAGGGAAGAAGCUCGAAAGCCGUCCCUAAGGGGAUGCGGAGCACGACGAAGCUACUAAAGAAGUCACUCCAAAGGGGGCGCAGUGUAAGUUUUCUUCUCAAAAGUCGUUCCAAAGGGAAUGCAGAGCUUACAGCGAAAAGUCAACGCUGAUACCGCCGAAAGUAAAAGGUGAAGAAGCUCCUAAGGGAGGCUUACAGCGAAAAGUCAACGCUGAUCCCGCUGAAGUAAAAGGCGAAGAAGCUCCUAAGGGAGGCUUACAGCGAAAAGUCAGCGCUGAUAUGUGAUUGUUUCUAAGGAAACAUCGGUUGUGAUUAUGGCUUCGGAUAUGUGUUUGGACAUUCAUUUGCACACUACAUUACAUCAUAACAUUUGCAUUCAUAAACAUUCAUCCAGGCAUAUGUAGGAUAACCAUCAUCAUAGCAUAAGUGGUUGCUUCGGCAAAAAAGGAAAAAAACUGUCUUUUGUACUUCGUCGUGUACGAAAAGAAGAGCUUCGGCAAAAAAGAAAAGCUGUUUAUUAUGCUUCGCUGUGUACGAAAAGAAGGGAAGGUGUUUUUUUCGCCUUCGGCUCAAAAAGACAAUUUCGUCCACAACAAAGCACCUCAUACAUUAAUGGAAGGGUAAGAGCAUAUUACAAGGUAUGAACAAAAUUCAUUAAGAACCGUUUAGCCAUAUUUACAAAAGUUAUUUCAAAAGUUUCUUGAGUUUUUCUACAGUCUACUCCUACUGAUCUUCAUGGGGCCUCAGCUUUGGCAUCAUACUCUUUAAGCAUCGGUCUCGGCUUCGUCAUCCUACAUGAAUUAAGUUGUUGUGAGUCAAAACCAAGUUUGAAGGAAAAGGUAAGCACAAGGUAUGAUCUCUUACUGGUUCAAGAUGACUCCGAGCUUCGUCUCCAGCCUUUUCUCGCCCGCCUUUUGUCCAUAUCAUCUUCACAAAUCUAUUAGAAAUGCUUCGGGCGAGGUCAGGAAUAUCAUCUAAAAUUGAUGGCGAUAGAGUGAAAUUGGGCCUAUUAACAAUUUUUCCAUGGUCGCAGCCAGCCUUCAGAAAAGCUGCAGCAGUGCCCCGAGAAGCUACCCAGGCACAGAAGUCACCGUGCCCGGCUAUAACUUCGUCAAGCUCAUCAAUUUCACCCUCAAUAUGUUCGAAGGUCUUUUGUAAAUCUUCAGUUGACGGGGUGAAUUUCUCACUGCUAGCCCCAACUGAGUGGAAUAUCUUUCUCAGUCGUUGAAUACAUUUAUUGCUAAACUCCAAACAUCUGUCUUGAAGGCUUGCCAAUAAUUUUUUCAAAUCUGAAAUUUGUUGGACUUCGGCUUCAAGUUUCGCAUUAAGUUCUUGCUUUUCUUGAUCAAACUAUUCAGAUUGGCAGAGAAGCUUCGUAUUCAAUUCUGUUAUUUUAGCUUCGGCUUCUGCCAAUAAGCCUUCAGUUGCCUGAAGCUCGAAGUUCUUCUUUUCAAUAGUAGCUGAUUGCUCUUUUAUUUUGCUCUCUAAAUUUUCAAUUAUAACCUCGUGUUUUUUGUCUUCCAGAUCCUGCUGCAUUUUCAAAGCCUUACUCAACAGCAUACUCUGCACAUAAACAACCUUCGUUAGAAAUGUCUUCAUUAUUAAAAACAAUAAAAGUCAAGGGAAAAGUAGUUCACCUUGAAAUUGGAAUAAAAUAAGCUACCAACGAUAUGUUGUCGUCGGUAGCGACUAAUAUCCGUUUCCAGCUUCAGAAAACCGAUACUCUUUGAUAGAGUACCGAUAAUCUUAGCUCCAGUUUGAUCCCGGAUACAGCCUAAUUUUUCAUCGUCAAUACCCCCGAAGAGGAGUGCUCCUGGUUUAUAUCCGCAAGAUUUGGCAUAUUCUUCAAGCUCUUCUAUUUCGGUUUUUGACAAUUCUUGUCCAACUAAAUUUUGAAACAUGAAGGUUUCGUCCUCCGAAGUAUCGUCAGCUAUUUCCUUUCCUUUCCCAGACACUGCGGCCAUGGUCUCUUCGGCGACAGUAGUAGCUUCUUCUGCGGCCAUGUCUAGCAGUAUUUUGUCGAUAUGUUCGAUUGUGGUUUCCAAGUUCAAAUCUUCGGGUGAGGUAGCUUCGGUAGCCGCGAUUGCCGAAGGUGCGACCUCAACAUUUGAUAUUUCCUCAGCCGCUGGUGUCUUCUGAGCUGAAGCUCUCGGUGGUGUCUUGUCAAUGACUUCGGUCACUGCGAUGAUUCUUUGUCUCUUUGUUUUAGUUGUUUUCUUCGUUUUUCCGGGCUCCUUUUCCUUCUGAAAAAGCUUUGUCAGUUGAGGCCCUAAUGGACUUAGCUUCACAGGCAGGGAUUCAGUCAUUACCUUCAAAAUCUCUUCCAUGUCAGUGGCAGAGUGUGAUGCGGGAGUCUCUUCUUCGUUGGAUACUUUUCGCUUUGGAGAUGAUACUUUUCUCUUCUUCGGAAUAUUCUUCUCUUUUGGUAGUUCUUUCUCAUCUUCAUUUAAAGCUUCGGCUACCCUUUUCCUUUUCCGGCCUUCGACACCUUUAUUCAGUUGUUCGUAGUCAGGGUAUUCAAAACCCAAGGCGUCCAGCACUCGAUUCAGUCUUCGCUUUGGACGGGUACCGAAGGCCGCGGUCAUCAACUGAUCUUCUUUUUUGGAGUAAUUACCGAGUAUUUCAUUGCACAUUAUUUCAAUUGUGCCCAGCCACUCUUGGCAAGGUGUUUUAAAGUAUUUCUUAAACUUGUAAUAGUAAGGUAACCGCACAAGUUCCCCUUCUUUCUUCUCCCCCUCUAGCUUCGGCAUUUCCCAUUCUUUUAAAGUAGGAAAAACCCUGAAGGCCAAGAACUCUUGAACCAGGUCUCUUGUGCCGAUAUGCUCUGAAAUAAUUUUGAACUCAGCUAGUGCAGCCCAAGUGGGACCUUCUAACGACAUUUGGCAUCGCGGUCUUGUUUCUCCGAAGAUCAAUUCAAGAGGGCUUUGUACCAGCUUCUCUUUGUCUUCGUCAACCUUCACAUAAAACCAUUCCGACUUCCAGCCUGCCGGCCAUUUGCUUCGGUAGCUGAUUACAGGAAACUUUGUGGUUUUCCGAUAAGCAAAAUUAUAGCAACCAAAGUUAUCAUGCAAUCCAUCUUUUCUAGCCUUCGUCUGGUAGUGCAGCUCAUGAACUCGACAAAAGCUGUCGGCAAACGGCUCCACCGCUUGGCUUCGGAGGGCCCAGAUAUAAACACUAAGCCUAAUGAUAGCGUUAGGAGUCAGCUGAUGAAGGUAGAUCCCAAACUUCUUCAAUACAUCUGCAAUAAUCCCAUGGAGGGGGAAUCUCAACCUCGCCUUUAGAAAGCUCUUGAAAAUGACUAUUUCAUCCUUCUCCGGCUUCGGGGUAGUUUCUUCCCCCCCGAAGCGAAGUAGCUUCUUCUGACUCUCAUUGAAAUAACCCGACUUCACCAUCUUGGAGAGAUCAGCCUUAGAGACAGUCGACUUUCCGAAGUCCAAGUGGCUGGGCUUACUUGGCAUGGCAAUAUGAUAAUCAUCUUCGGAAUCAGUUUCCUCAAUGUCUCCUUCUUCCGCUUCGGCAGUUACCUGUUCUGUUUCAACAGUGGGGAUUUCUUCCGAGAUUACCAGUCCGGAUCGUUGCAUCGCUUCGGAGAUGGGAACAGUCUUCGAUCCUUCAGCUUCGCCUCCCUCACGCUCAACCCUAGCGGUAGAACGCACUCUAGCCAUUUAAUUCUGGAUUUUUUGGGAACUAAAUACUUUUCUUCCGAAGCGUUUUUCUUCUGACGAAGUAGGCUUCGGGCUGGAGCUUCGUUUGAUUUCGAGAGUCAAGCUUCGGCUAUGGUUAAAAAUUUUGGCAGCAAAACAGUGCAAAUAGCAAUGAAUGCUGUGGUAACUUCACACCUACCCGUCUGUUUAUAUAGUGAUGCAGGUAAGAAGGUGAACCGCUAGGAUUUUUACACCAGGCGAACAGCUGCUUGUACCCGCUGCGCGGUGGACCGCAGAGACCAAAUAGUAACUCUGCAAGGUGGGACCGCUACGCGCUCGGAAACUGAAUCGUUUCUCGACAACGAGCUCAGGGAAGGUGUUUUUUGGACCUUCGGCUUCCCGAAGCCUAAGAUACUUUUUUCACGGAUCAAGCUCGUUACGAAAAACGAUCUAGCACCGCGAAGGGGCUACUGUUGGGACUAUGCUUCGUCGCUGAAGGUCUUGUAGGGAGAAACAAUUUCGGCUGAAGCUGACCGCAUGUGAUGACCGAAGGUUCCUCAGUAUGAAGCUUCAGAAUUACAAACCGACUUAAGAGUACCUUAUAGUCCAUAAAUGUUUGAGUCGCUGUUGUAAUUCCUUAUAAGGGACAUAAUUGUAAUUCCUCACAGGCUGUAUCCCGUGCCUAUAAAUAGUGAACAGUAUUCCUUUACUGUUCACGCAUUCCGAUGAUAGUGAUCACACCAUUCGGGAAUCAAUCUUUUGCCAAGGUAUAAUUGUAUCCAGUGCUUAAAUGUGUUAAAUCGAUAUAAUAUGAAAGUAAUGUUGUUCGUUUAUAAUUUAUUCACCUUUGACGCUUCGUAUUUUAUAUUACUUUAUUCAAUCUAUUAGGAUUCAAUUACGAAGAUUAACCUUCGUAGUCAUAUUGUAUUUAACCUUCGUCCAAGGCUCAUUAAUCCUUAAGGGAAUAAUGCUUCGUUGGACGAAGGGCAUUAACAUUUAACAUUUUAUGUUGCCUUGUUCUUAAUUCAUAGCAUUUGAGAACAAGUCUCCAACAACAUCUAUGGAUUGAAGGGAAGGAACAUUGACGUUAAGAACAAAUCUGAAUUCAUAAUCCUAAUGAAGUAGACAGAGAUGAAGACCAAUGAGCCCAUAGUCAACACAGGACGCACAUGCGCAUAAAAAAAUGUAUUUUGUCUACACUAUAACUGAGAAGGAAUAAAAUGGAUCAGCACCACUAUAUCAGUCCAGUUUGUUGUGGAAGACAAUAAAAAGCAAUAUGACCCAUUAAACUGCAAAGGGUGCCAAAAAGAUAUCCACCCAUUGACAGAAAUACUGAGUAUGCAUGCAUGCUCCGAUAUCUAUUGUUACUACCAUAUAUAUUUCCAGAUCACAUAGAUACUUUUCAGCAAUAGCUAACAAUUAGAAAUUCCACACUCAUACGUGAUAUUAUAAGCUUCCUUGGGAUGCCGUUUGUUGUCGGAUGGUAUAACAUGCAAAGCACGGCUAGCAAAGGAAGUAAGAGAUGCACAUUAGAUAUGUAGAGUACAUAUUUAUAAUAAGAAGUAUGUAAGAUGGCUCAAGAUAAAACCUGAGAAAGGUAAGCUAAGGUAACCCAGACUCCCAGCUCUAGUCCUAAGUAGCAUACACGGCAAUCCCCAAAGGCACGCACUGUGAAUUUUUUACAGGCUGCAACAAUGAACCACACCAUGCCAAAGCUUUGUUCUCUU
rnacentral:lncRNA from 1 species